CAGCAGGCGCGAAAACUUUACAAUGCCGGCAACGGCGAUAAGGGAACCUCGAGUACCAGGUUACAAAUCUGGCUGUCGUGAUGCCUAAAAAGCAUUGCAUAGCAAGGGCCGGGCAAGACCGGUGCCAGCCGCCGCGGUAACACCGGCGGCUCGAGUGGUAACCGUUAUUAUUGGGUCUAAAGGGUCUGUAGCCGGCCGGGUAAGUCUCUUGGGAAAUCUGGCAGCUUAACUGUCAGGCUUUCAGGAGAUACUGCCUGGCUCGAGGCCGGGAGAGGUGAGAGGUACUUCAGGGGUAGGGGUGAAAUCUUGUAAUCCUUGAAGGACCACCAGUGGCGAAGGCGUCUCACCAGAACGGACCUGACGGCAAGGGACGAAAGCUAGGGGCACGAACCGGAUUAGAUACCCGGGUAGUCCUAGCCGUAAACGAUACUCGCUAGGUGUCGGCCACGGUGCGACCGUGGUCGGUGCCGUAGGGAAGCCGUGAAGCGAGCCACCUGGGAAGUACGGCCGCAAGGCUGAAACUUAAAGGAAUUGGCGGGGGAGCAC
rnacentral:rRNA from 1 species